rnacentral:rRNA from 1 species
UGGGGAAUCUUGCGCAAUGGGCGAAAGCCUGACGCAGCGACGCCGCGUGCGGGAUGACGGCCUUCGGGUUGUAAACCGCUUUCAGCAGGGACGAGGCCGCAAGGUGACGGUACCUGCAGAAGAAGCCCCGGCUAACUACGUGCCAGCAGCCGCGGUAAUACGUAGGGGGCGAGCGUUAUCCGGAUUCAUUGGGCGUAAAGCGCACGUAGGUGGCGUGGUAAGUCGGGGGUGAAAUCCCACAGCUCAACUGUGGAACUGCCUUCGAUACUGUCAUGCUUGAGUAUCGGAGAGGGUGGCGGAAUUCCAGGUGUAGGAGUGAAAUCCGUAGAUAUCUGGAAGAACACCGGUGGCGAAGGCGGCCACCUGGACGAAAACUGACGCUGAGGUGCGAAAGCGUGGGGUAGCAAACAGGAUUAGAUACC